rnacentral:rRNA from 1 species
GGGUUGUGAGGUUAAGCGACUAAGCGUACACGGUGGAUGCCCUGGCAGUCAGAGGCGAUGAAGGACGUGCUAAUCUGCGAUAAGCGUCGGUAAGGUGAUAUGAACCGUUAUAACCGGCGAUUUCCGAAUGGGGAAACCCAGUGUGUUUCGACACACUAUCAUUAACUGAAUCCAUAGGUUAAUGAGGCGAACCGGGGGAACUGAAACAUCUAAGUACCCCGAGGAAAAGAAAUCAACCGAGAUUCCCCCAGUAGCGGCGAGCGAACGGGGAGGAGCCCAGAGCCUGAAUCAGUGUGUGUGUUAGUGGAAGCGUCUGGAAAGGCGCGCGAUACAGGGUGACAGCCCCGUACACAAAAAUGCACAUGCUGUGAGCUCGAUGAGUAGGGCGGGACACGUGGUAUCCUGUCUGAAUAUGGGGGGACCAUCCUCCAAGGCUAAAUACUCCUGACUGACCGAUAGUGAACCAGUACCGUGAGGGAAAGGCGAAAAGAACCCCGGCGAGGGGAGUGAAAAAGAACCUGAAACCGUGUACGUACAAGCAGUGGGAGCACGCUUAGGCGUGUGACUGCGUACCUUUUGUAUAAUGGGUCAGCGACUUAUAUUCUGUAGCAAGGUUAACCGAAUAGGGGAGCCGAAGGGAAACCGAGUCUUAACUGGGCGUUAAGUUGCAGGGUAUAGACCCGAAACCCGGUGAUCUAGCCAUGGGCAGGUUGAAGGUUGGGUAACACUAACUGGAGGACCGAACCGACUAAUGUUGAAAAAUUAGCGGAUGACUUGUGGCUGGGGGUGAAAGGCCAAUCAAACCGGGAGAUAGCUGGUUCUCCCCGAAAGCUAUUUAGGUAGCGCCUCGUGAAUUCAUCUCCGGGGGUAGAGCACUGUUUCGGCAAGGGGGUCAUCCCGACUUACCAACCCGAUGCAAACUGCGAAUACCGGAGAAUGUUAUCACGGGAGACACACGGCGGGUGCUAACGUCCGUCGUGAAGAGGGAAACAACCCAGACCGCCAGCUAAGGUCCCAAAGUCAUGGUUAAGUGGGAAACGAUGUGGGAAGGCCCAGACAGCCAGGAUGUUGGCUUAGAAGCAGCCAUCAUUUAAAGAAAGCGUAAUAGCUCACUGGUCGAGUCGGCCUGCGCGGAAGAUGUAACGGGGCUAAACCAUGCACCGAAGCUGCGGCAGCGACGCUGAUGCGUUGUUGGGUAGGGGAGCGUUCUGUAAGCCUGCGAAGGUGUGCUGUGAGGCAUGCUGGAGGUAUCAGAAGUGCGAAUGCUGACAUAAGUAACGAUAAAGCGGGUGAAAAGCCCGCUCGCCGGAAGACCAAGGGUUCCUGUCCAACGUUAAUCGGGGCAGGGUGAGUCGACCCCUAAGGCGAGGCCGAAAGGCGUAGUCGAUGGGAAACAGGUUAAUAUUCCUGUACUUGGUGUUACUGCGAAGGGGGGACGGAGAAGGCUAUGUUGGCCGGGCGACGGUUGUCCCGGUUUAAGCGUGUAGGCUGGUUUUCCAGGCAAAUCCGGAAAAUCAAGGCUGAGGCGUGAUGACGAGGCACUACGGUGCUGAAGCAACAAAUGCCCUGCUUCCAGGAAAAGCCUCUAAGCAUCAGGUAACAUCAAAUCGUACCCCAAACCGACACAGGUGGUCAGGUAGAGAAUACCAAGGCGCUUGAGAGAACUCGGGUGAAGGAACUAGGCAAAAUGGUGCCGUAACUUCGGGAGAAGGCACGCUGAUAUGUAGGUGAAGCGACUUGCUCGUGGAGCUGAAAUCAGUCGAAGAUACCAGCUGGCUGCAACUGUUUAUUAAAAACACAGCACUGUGCAAACACGAAAGUGGACGUAUACGGUGUGACGCCUGCCCGGUGCCGGAAGGUUAAUUGAUGGGGUUAGCGCAAGCGAAGCUCUUGAUCGAAGCCCCGGUAAACGGCGGCCGUAACUAUAACGGUCCUAAGGUAGCGAAAUUCCUUGUCGGGUAAGUUCCGACCUGCACGAAUGGCGUAAUGAUGGCCAGGCUGUCUCCACCCGAGACUCAGUGAAAUUGAACUCGCUGUGAAGAUGCAGUGUACCCGCGGCAAGACGGAAAGACCCCGUGAACCUUUACUAUAGCUUGACACUGAACAUUGAGCCUUGAUGUGUAGGAUAGGUGGGAGGCUUUGAAGUGUGGACGCCAGUCUGCAUGGAGCCGACCUUGAAAUACCACCCUUUAAUGUUUGAUGUUCUAACGUUGACCCGUAAUCCGGGUUGCGGACAGUGUCUGGUGGGUAGUUUGACUGGGGCGGUCUCCUCCUAAAGAGUAACGGAGGAGCACGAAGGUUGGCUAAUCCUGGUCGGACAUCAGGAGGUUAGUGCAAUGGCAUAAGCCAGCUUGACUGCGAGCGUGACGGCGCGAGCAGGUGCGAAAGCAGGUCAUAGUGAUCCGGUGGUUCUGAAUGGAAGGGCCAUCGCUCAACGGAUAAAAGGUACUCCGGGGAUAACAGGCUGAUACCGCCCAAGAGUUCAUAUCGACGGCGGUGUUUGGCACCUCGAUGUCGGCUCAUCACAUCCUGGGGCUGAAGUAGGUCCCAAGGGUAUGGCUGUUCGCCAUUUAAAGUGGUACGCGAGCUGGGUUUAGAACGUCGUGAGACAGUUCGGUCCCUAUCUGCCGUGGGCGCUGGAGAAUUGAGGGGGGCUGCUCCUAGUACGAGAGGACCGGAGUGGACGCAUCACUGGUGUUCGGGUUGUCAUGCCAAUGGCACUGCCCGGUAGCUAAAUGCGGAAGAGAUAAGUGCUGAAAGCAUCUAAGCACGAAACUUGCCCCGAGAUGAGUUCUCCCUGACUCCUUGAGAGUCCUGAAGGAACGUUGAAGACGACGACGUUGAUAGGCCGGGUGUGUAAGCGCAGCGAUGCGUUGAGCUAACCGGUACUAAUGAACCGUGAGGCUUAACCUUACAACGCCGAAG